rnacentral:rRNA from 1 species
AGAGUUUGAUCCUGGCUCCGGACGAACGCUGGCGGCGUGCUUAACACAUGCAAGUCGAACGGAAAGGCCCUUCGGGGUACUCGAGUGGCGAACGGGUGAGUAACACGUGGGUGAUCUGCCCUGCACUUUGGGAUAAGCCUGGGAAACUGGGUCUAAUACCGAAUAUGACCAUGCACUUCCUGGUGUGUGGUGGAAAGCUUUUGCGGUGUGGGAUGGGCCCGCGGCCUAUCAGCUUGUUGGUGGGGUAAUGGCCUACCAAGGCGACGACGGGUAGCCGGCCUGAGAGGGUGACCGGCCACACUGGGACUGAGAUACGGCCCAGACUCCUACGGGAGGCAGCAGUGGGGAAUAUCGCACAAUGGGCGCAAGCCUGAUGCAGCGACGCCGCGUGAGGGAUGACGGCCUUCGGGUUGUAAACCUCCUUCAGCACAGACGAAGCGCAAGUGACGGUAUGUGCAGAAGAAGGACCGGCCAACUACGUGCCAGCAGCCGCGGUAAUACGUAGGGUCCGAGCGUUGUCCGGAAUUACUGGGCGUAAAGAGCUCGUAGGUGGUUUGUCGCGUUGUUCGUGAAAACUCACAGCUUAACUGUGGGCGUGCGGGCGAUACGGGCAGACUUGAGUACUGCAGGGGAGACUGGAAUUCCUGGUGUAGCGGUGGAAUGCGCAGAUAUCAGGAGGAACACCGGUGGCGAAGGCGGGUCUCUGGGCAGUAACUGACGCUGAGGAGCGAAAGCGAGGGGAGCGAACAGGAUUAGAUACCCUGGUAGUCC